rnacentral:misc_RNA from 1 species
AACAAGGCGUACCUGCGGACCUGCGGAAGGAUCAUUAACGAGUGUAAUCUACCCUUUUAAAAAAUGGGUGGUACCUCCCGUCCUUUGCGGGCCCCCUUCUUUUAUUAAGGGGGGGGCUUUUAAGACUUUCUGCUUCGGCGGGGUUAUUCCCGCCGGAACACCUUCAAAAAACUCUUGAUCAAAAAACUGUUCAGUCCGAGAAUUUUUGAAAAUUAAAACAAAACUUUCAACAAUGGAUCU